UGCUGGAAACCUGGAGACUCCUCGUGCCU
rnacentral:piRNA from 1 species